GGGUGCACUCUGUGCAGACAUCUAAAGGGAAUUGGGUUAAUAUUCUUGAAACAGAACAUGGCGGUGGAAAAAAACAUUAACAAAUCCAGAGAUGUCAUCGGGGGUCCCAGGAAGAGUUAUAUUUUCUUUUUAAUGACUUUCCCACUCUGAAAUUGGUUCAACCGGAGAUAAGGUCCAACAACUGGAAGAGAACCACACAUCUUGCGAUGUCUGGUGCCCCCUCAAUGACCAUUGAAAAUAUGGAGGACCAAGUAUCAUCCAUGCCUGGUUACACUCAUAACCACAUAAGGUCUCAAGGGUGAACAACCUUUGGUCAAUAGAACAAUGUAGGUAAGGGAAGUCAGAAAAAUAGAUCUGUAACUUUGGGAAAAGGAUUGGAUAUGAGGGCUAGGCCUAGCAGUCAGCAUAUUCAUCCCAUGGGAAGUCGACAGUAUGCCCGAGAUGCUCUCACAUUGAGGGUUGUUGGCAGCCAAUACAAUUUUUUCUAUUGCCCUAUAAGAUGCCUACACCUAUGUCUUCUGAACUUCAAAUUGUCGUCGCAUUUUGCAAAUAAACGAUAUUUUCAUUUCUUACGACACUUGCAAAUUGGUCUCCAUUUAGU
rnacentral:ncRNA from 1 species